rnacentral:rRNA from 1 species
UACGUAGGGUGCAAGCGUUGUCCGGAAUUAUUGGGCGUAAAGAGCUUGUAGGCGGUUUGUCGCGUCUGCUGUGAAAAUCCGGGGCUCAACCCCGGACUUGCAGUGGGUACGGGCAGACUAGAGUGUGGUAGGGGGAGACUGGAAUUCCUGGUGUAGCGGUGGAAUGCGCAGAUAUCAGGAGGAACACCGAUGGCGAAGGCAGAUCUCUGGGCCGUAACUGACGCUGAGGAGCGAAAGCAUGGGGAGCGAACAGG